rnacentral:rRNA from 1 species
CAGUCGCCGCGGUAAUACGGAGGGUGCAAGCGUUAAUCGGAAUUACUGGGCGUAAAGCGUGCGUAGGCGGUUCGUUAAGUCUGUUGUGAAAGCCCCGGGCUCAACCUGGGAAUGGCAAUGGAUACUGGCGAGCUAGAGUGUGUCAGAGGAUGGUGGAACUUCCGGUGGGGCGGUGAAAUGCGUUGAGAUCGGAAGGAACGCCCGUGGCGAAAGCGAGGCCCUGGACCCUUACUGACGCUGAGACGCGAAAGCCAGGGGAGCGAACGGGAUUAGAUACCCCGGUAGUCCCUGUCUCUUAUAC